GACAGUGUGGCUCAGUGGUAGAGCGCUUGCCUAGCCCUGGGUUCCAGCCCCAGCACUGGCA
rnacentral:tRNA from 1 species